GACGUAGGGCGCGAGCGUUGUCCGGAUUUAUUGGGCGUAAAGAGCUCGUAGGCGGCUUGUCGCGUCGAUCGUGAAAACUUGUGGCUCAACUACAAGCUGGCGGUCGAUACGGGCAGGCUGGAGUUCGGUAGGGGAGACUGGAAUUCCUGGUGUAGCGGUGAAAUGCGUAGAGAUCGGGAGGAACACCAAAGGCGAAAGCACUCUGCUGGGCCGCGACUGACACUGAGAGACGAAAGCGAGGGGAGCAAAUGGG
rnacentral:rRNA from 1 species